CCGAGUUAUACAACUCAUCAACCCUAUGAACAUACCUAUAACGUUGCCUCGGCGGGAACAGACGGCCCCGUAACACGGGCCGCCCCCGCCAGAGGACCCCCUAACUCUGUUUCUAUAAUGUUUCUUCUGAGUAAACAAGCAAAUAAAUUA
rnacentral:misc_RNA from 1 species